rnacentral:rRNA from 1 species
CGGACGGGUGAGUAACGCGUGGGUAACCUGCCCUAUACAGGGGGAUAACAGUUAGAAAUGACUGCUAAUACCGCAUAAGCGCACAGGACCGCAUGGUUCGGUGUGAAAAACUGAGGUGGUAUAGGAUGGACCCGCGUCUGAUUAGCUUGUUGGUGAGGUAACGGCUCACCAAGGCGACGAUCAGUAGCCGGCCUGAGAGGGCGACCGGCCACAUUGGGACUGAGACACGGCCCAAACUCCUACGGGAGGCAGCAG